rnacentral:sRNA from 1 species
AUGCAAGCCCCAGCUGAAAACAAACCAAUUAAAUAUAAGAGAGAAGAUUUCAUUUUUGGAAAAACUCUUGGAGAAGGUUCUUAUUCAAUGACCAAGCAUGCAUUAGGUGCAUUUGAUGAAGUAUGCACUCGUUUUUAUUCAGCUGAGAUUAUUGUUGCAGUUGGUUAUCUUCAUGAUUUAGGAAUAAUACAUAGAGACCUUAAACCUGAAAAUAUUUUAUUAAGUGAAGAUAUGCACAUCAAGUUAGCUGAUUUUGGAACUGCAAAACUUUUAAAUUCCUCGCAAAAUAUAGGUGAAAAGAAAAAGAACUCAUUUGUUGGUACUGCUCAAUAUGUUUCACCAGAAUUACUGACCCAAAAGUUAUCAAGUAAAAGCUCUGAUUGGUGGGCUUUAGGCUGUAUUAUUUAUCAGCUACGAGCUGGUCGACCUCCUUUUCAGUGUGGAAAUGAAUACCAAACUUUCCAAAAAAUUAUUAAACUAGAAUAUACAUUUCCAAAAGGUUUUCCAGAUAAAGAGAAAGUCUUAGUGGAGAACUUACUUGUUUUGGAUCCUGAAAAAAGAUAUACUUAUGAUGAUUUGAUAAAUCAUCCAUAUUAUGAUGGUAUUGAUUUCCAAAACCUUCAUUUGCAAACUCCUCCUAAGUUGAUGAUAUAUCUGCCAUCCAAUGUACCAGGACAACCUGGAAUAUAUGAAGAAGUAAAUGUAUAUCAAAAUUUAAAAUUAAAAAUACCUUUUAAAU